rnacentral:misc_RNA from 1 species
AGCAGCCGCGGUAAUUCCAGCUCCAAUAGCGUAUAUUAAAGUUGUUGCAGUUAAAAAGCUCGUAGUUGAAUUUCGGGAUCAGUUGGUCGGUCGUGCCUCGGUACGUACUGGUCAAAUUGAUUCCUACCUUCUGACGAACCACGAUGUCAUUAAUUUGGUGUCGUGGGAAAUCAGGACUGUUACUUUGAAAAAAUUAGAGUGUUUAAAGCAGGCUCGCGCUUGAAUACAUUAGCAUGGAAUAAUGAAAUAGGACGUUUGAUUCUAUUUUGUUGGUUUCUAGGAUCGACGUAAUGAUUAAUAGGGAUAGUUGGGGGCAUUAGUAUUCAAUUGUCAGAGGUGAAAUUCUUGGAUUUAUUGAAGACUAACUACUGCGAAAGCAUUUGCCAAGGAUGUUUUCAUUAAUCAAGAACGAAAGUUAGGGGAUCGAAGACGAUCAGAUACCGUCGUAGUCUUAACCAUAAA